rfam:Oryza rufipogon genomic scaffold, chr02
AAUAAAUACAGUUUUGCACUAUUUACGUUUAACGUUUGAUCAUUCGUCUUAUUUAAAAACUUUUUUAUGAUUAAUAUUUUUAUUACUAUUAGAUGAUAAAACAUGAAUAGUAAUUUAUGUGUGACUAAAUAUGUUUAAAUUUUUCACAAAAUUUUCAAAUAAGAUGGACGGUCAAACGUUGAACAUGGAUAUCCACGACUGUACUUAUU